UUUCAGUAACGACUUUCUGAUACUUGCUCAAUGUGUUGAUUAUUUGAAGAUUAAGUCAACCUAAUCAGGAUGUCAACAUCUGCAUUUUCAGCACAUUCGGGGGCUCAUGGAGAACGUCCUCCCUGUGUCUGCUCGUUUCGUCCUGAUGUGGAACUUAUUCAGUUAAAAGUCUAAUAAACCUUUGGGAGUACAAUUUCCUAUUUUGGUGGAUCGACUAAACACCAAAACUAAAAGUCCUCUUCAGUGAUUCUCAGACCUGGAUUAUCUUGGGAAGUGGAUCGCCAGGCUAAUGUGCCCACUGUAAUUUCACACGCCUUUUUGACACGGAAUGAUGGGACUGAUAAGACAAAAACCUCUCGUGGAAUAUGUUUCUGUCAGUCCACAGCUCUCAAUGCAGACACAGCUUAUGGGCACAAUACCGGCGUCAAAAUAAGGAUUUAAUUCGUUGCGUGUCUGAGAACGUCUAAAUUGUCACGAGUACUUACACUAUAAUUGAGAAAAUGCUGCAAAGACUCAAAUGUACCGUAAUUGCGCUGAAAGGUUAAUAAAUCUCAUUCAUCUCGGGUGUUAUACAACGAAUUUGUGUUAGUGCGUAAACAAUGUACAUUUACAUGGGCUAUUGUUUGAAAUUAUAUAUUGGCCGCAAGAAUUUUGCUGGAUCUAACGCCAGGGUGCAACUAAGUAGACUUUCCUUUGUCUAACGCCAUUUUGUGGGACUUUACAGCGCUAACGUUGUCGUCAGCCAUUUUGCCUUGUCUUUUCAACCAGACAGUCUCUGGAGAGGCACGACAAAAUCGUAAUGAUGUGAACAGCCGUGGCCAAAAGUUUUGAGAAUAUUAAUUUCCACAAAGUCUGCUGCCUCAGUUUUUAUGAUAGCAAUUUGCAUAUUUUACAGAAUGUUAUGAAGAAUGAUCGGAUGAAUUGCAAUGAAUAAGUCACUCUUUGCCAUAAAAAAGAAAUUACCCCCCCCCAAAAAAAAAAAGCCCAGCCACAAAAGAACCAGCUGACAUCAUGUCAGCGAGAAUGUUGACAGGACAAGGCUGGAGAUCAUUCUGUCAUGAUAAUUGAGUUAGAAUAACAGACUAGAAGCUUUUAAAGGAGGGUGGUGCUUGAAAUGACUGUUCUUCCUCUGUGAACCAUGGUUACCUGCAAGGAAACACGUGCAGUCAUCAUUGCACUGCACAAAAAGGGCUUCACAGGGCUACAGGGACUGGACUGCUAGGGUUGCUGGGUUAAACUCAUUUUCUCUGAUGAAUCCCCUUUCUAACUGUUUGGGGCACCUGAAAAAAGCCUGUCUGGAGGCAAAAAGGUGAGUGCUGCCAUCAGUCCUGUGUCAUACCAACAGUAAAGCAUCCUGAGACCUUCCAUGUGUGGGGUUGGUUCUCAGCCAAGGGAGUGGGCUCACUCACAAUUUUGUCCAAGAACACAGCCAUGAAUAAUGAAUGGUACUAAAACAUCCUCCAAGAUCAACUUCUCCCAACCAUCCAAGAACAAUUUGGUGAUGAACAAUGCCUUUUUCAUAAGACAAAAGUGAUGAGUAAGUGGUCUGGAGAACAAAACAUCAAAAUUUUGGGUCCAUGGCCAGGAAGCUCCCCAGACCUUAAUCCCAUUGAGAACUUGUGGUCAGUCCUCAAGAGGUGGAUGGAUAAACAAAAACCCACAACUUCUGACAAACUCCAAGCAAGAAAGGGCUGCCAGCAGUCAGGAUGUAGCCCAGAAGUUGAUUGACAGCAUGGGGCAAAUUGCAUAGGUCUUGAAAAAGAAGUGUCAACACUGCAAAUAUUGACUCUUUGCAUAAACUUAAUCUAAAUGUCAGUAAAAGCCUUUGGCACUCAUGAAAUGCUUGUAAUUAUACUUCAGUAUACCAUAGUAACAUCUGACAAAAAGAUCUAAAAACACUGAAGCAGCAAACGUUAUGAAAAACAAUACUUGUGUCAUUCUCAAAACUUGUGGCAGAGGUUGUACAAGCCAGUAUGUUGUGUGGGAUUUGAGCUAACUGACAAAAAUGAGAAAAUAAUUCAUAAGUUUACCCAGUUACUCCAUCUGCUUGUCAUGGAGUUACCGUCUCAAAUUUAUUCCUGCAAAGCAGGUGAAAACUGAGCAGUGUAAAUUUGUAAACAUGUUAACAUUUUUUUGUGCAUUCAAGCAAUGUGCAGUACAAGCUAAUACGGAUUCGCAUCACGGCAAACCAUUGAUAUUAGGCAUGUGUGAUAGCAUCUUAAAAUUUACCCUCUUUGAAAUUCAUGUGUGUAAUGUACAUUAUGUUUAAUAUCAGUCAGUGUGGGGUGUGUUUUUGUUUUGUUUUUUGCCAAAUGCCACUGCGUGUUUAUGGUAUUGGAAGGCCAAAAGAAAAUUAUAAUUUCUUUGUUAAAAACUGAAGGAGUGAAAAUGUAGCGUUUUUACCCCCUUGCUAAAUCACACCAAUUAGUGGUAUAACUGGUUUCUUGCAGGUAGAUUUGACAUGAUAGUAACACAACAAACACAUUAUAAAUCUCACUUAUUCUGAUCCUCAUCCAUCAGUAGGCCAUGGAAAGGCUUACAAAGCCCGAAUUGUCUUCAAGCUACAAUAAAGGACUCCACGAAGAAAAUGUGGAACAAUGACUCUCUCCAGGAGUAACUGGGAUGCCAAAAUCUCUCUAAGAUUACACUUUUAAUUCACCCUAGGUCGUACAGACUCUGGGAAUAACAUUAAGUCACUGAUGAUCA